UAUACGUAAAUUAUCUUGAUGUACGAACUGAAUAUGAGUCGUGGAAUUCCAAGUGAUUUACUUAAAAACAAUAGCUACGUUAAAUUUUAAAUGAUAUGGAAUAGUUUGAAAUUUUUUUUGUACACUUUAUUUUUUCACAACUUUUAGUAAUACUUUUAUAUUGCUACAGCAAUGGUGUAUAAUAAAUUUGAAAUAAUUAUUUAGGUAACAUUUGGAAAUGAUAGUUAAGUUGAAAUAAAAAAAAUUGUUUUUAUUCAAUAUUAUCGAUGUUCGAAAUCACAGAUUUGCAAAAAAUUGGAGUCGGACUAGCCGGCUUUGGGAUUACAUUCUUAUUUUUGGGUAUGUUAUUACUUUUUGACAAAGGAUUGCUAGCUAUUGGUAAUAUACUAUUCAUUGUUGGAUUAAGCUGUGUAAUAGGAGUUACAAGGACUCUAAAAUUUUUUUUUCAACGUCAUAAGAUAAAGGCCUCGGUUUCAUUUUUUGGUGGUAUCUUAGUUGUUUUAUUUGGAUGGCCAUUAGUGGGAAUGUUAUUAGAAAUCUAUGGAUUUAUUCUUUUAUUCAGUGGUUUCUUUCCAGUAGUAAUAAAUUUUAUGCGUAGAGUUCCUGUUUUGGGCACACUUUUAAAUCUGCCAAUUUUAAGUGGAGUAUGUAAAUAUAUUAGAUAGGAUUGCAGGUGAUACUAGUCGAACUAUGGUAUGAACUAAAAUGAAACAAUAUUGGGUUUUCAAUGAUUGUGAAUAAUAAUAAGAACUUAAUACUACUAACUGGACAUUCCCUGGGAUCUUUUCCUGUUAUCUAUUAUUUAAAUUUAUUAUACAUUUAUAAAUUACAUAAAAUUGUCUAAUUAAUUUUUAAAAAUAGCAAACUUUGUAUGUUUGUAAGAUAAAAAUUUAAUUUUAUAAAGCUAUUUAAAAUAUUAAAUUUAUAUUAAAAAACUGAUGAAACAAUACUUACAAGUAUUUUAAAUGUUACAAUUUUUAGAAUAUUUUUGUUCUAAAUAUAUUUCUUGAUUUUAAUUAUAAAAAAAAAUAAAUCAGUAGACAAUGUAUGCUACCUCCAUAGAUCCAUAUCACAAGUUCAUUAAAACAAAUAAACAAAAGACUUCUAAAAUUGGAUUUUGUUGUAUGGAGUUCAGCUAAGAAAAAAAAUUUGUAGUAGAGAAUAAAAGUUUAAAAGUACAGAUAUAUUAUAUUAUAUAAGUGUAUUAUAUUAUGCUUAUGUUUGAAAGUGACUAAAAAAUAAAAAAUCUUUUUUAAAUUA